rnacentral:rRNA from 1 species
CCUACGGGGAGCAGCAGUGGGGAAUAUUGGACAAUGGGCGAAAGCCUGAUCCAGCCAUGCCGCGUGUGUGAAGAAGGCCUUCGGGUUGUAAAGCACUUUCAGUGGGGAAGAAAGCCUUGGGGCUAAUACCCUCGAGGAAGGACAUCACCCACAGAAGAAGCACCGGCUAACUCCGUGCCAGCAGCCGCGGUAAUACGGAGGGUGCGAGCGUUAAUCGGAAUUACUGGACGUAAAGCGCGCGUAGGCGGUCUGAUAAGCCGGUUGUGAAAGCCCCGGGCUCAACCUGGGAACGGCAUCCGGAACUGUCAGGCUAGAGUGCAGGAGAGGAAGGUAGAAUUCCCGGUGUAGCGGUGAAAUGCGUAGAGAUCGGGAGGAAUACCAGUGGCGAAGGCGGCCUUCUGGACUGACACUGACGCUGAGGUGCGAAAGCGUGGGUAGCAAACAGGAUUAGAUACCCGUGUAGUC